rnacentral:rRNA from 1 species
CCUACGGGAGGCAGCAGUGGGGAAUAUUGGUCAAUGGGCGCGAGCCUGAACCAGCCAAGUAGCGUGAAGGAUGACUGCCCUACGGGUUGUAAACUUCUUUUAUAAAGGAAUAAAGUGAGGCACGUGUGCCUUUUUGUAUGUACUUUAUGAAUAAAGAUCGGCUAACUCCGUGCCAGCAGCCGCGGUAAGACGGAGGGUCCGAGCGUUAUCCCGAUUGGUUGGGUUUAAAGGGAGCGUAGAUGGGUUUUUAAGUCAGUUGGGAAAGUUUGCGGCUCAACCGUAAAAUUGCAAUUGAUACUGGCAGCCUUGAGUACAGUUGAGGUAGGCGGAAUUCGUGGUGUAGCGGUGAAAUGCGUAGAUAUAACGAAGAACUCCGAUUGCGAAGGCAGCCUACUAAACUGCCACUGACAUUGAUGCUCGAAAGUGUGGGUAGCAAACAGGAUUAGAUACCCCAGUAGUC